UACGUAGGGGGCAAGCGUUGUCCGGAUUUAUUGGGCGUAAAGAGCGUGUAGGCGGCCAGGUAGGUCUGCUGUGAAAACUCGAGGCUUAACCUCGAGCUGUCGACCGAAACCAUCUGGCUAGAGUCCGGGAGAGGAGAGUGGAAUUCCUGGUGUAGCGGUGAAAUGCGCAGAUAUCAGGAAGAACACCCGUGGCGAAAGCGGCUCUCUGGAACGGUACUGACGCUGAGACGCGAAAGCGUGGGGAGCGAACAGG
rnacentral:rRNA from 1 species